GCGGGAGUAGCUCAGUGGUAGAGCGUCACCCUCCCAAGGUGAAGGCCGCGGGUUCGAUUCCCGUCUCCCGCUCAA
rnacentral:tRNA from 2 species